UAUUUCCAAAGCAAACAAUGGAAAACAAAACUUAAGUGCUCUUUUACCACCAACAGGACAAUAGUUGCAAAAGUACUACAAAAAAUCUGACCUCCAAGGUGAUUCCCCAGAAUGAAACUCUGCCAGAGUCUUCACUGAAUGCAAAAGGAAAGGCCCCUCUACCAAAGGCAACAAGGGGUUGUCCUCAGAUUGGAUGUUGUAGGGAUACUGGCAAAAGUUCAGUCCAAUCCAAUAACUCCCGCAAUGAUCAUGGUUUCACUCAGAUUAAUGGAAGUCCCGGAGUUCCCCAGAGACAGAGCUCUACAUCUUUAAGGUUCCCAUGUGUUUCCCCCACAACGAUAUUUCAGAGUAACCCACAACACAACGCUGGCAACCAGGUUAAAUGUCAGCUGUCUGCAGGAAGGAGCUGUUGUCGACUUCUGCAAGAAAGACGGGAGGUCAUUGUUCACUGCAUGACUGAGGGGCGACUCAACAACCUACUUGAUGUGUUGCGGGCUAGACAGGCUGUGACCCGUGAGAUGUACGAGAUCAUCACUGCAGCCCUGACCUUGACCGCACGCACGCGCUGUUUGCUUGAUGUCUGUGCCUGCCUUGGUGAAAAUGUUGCUAUCUUGGUGGCCACAACUUUAGGUUUAGUAUCCACCGAAAAUACUCAGACCACACAUAGGUGGCAGGCUGGGUAAAUUAAGCCAACGUGCCGCUACUCUUAUGCAAUGGAAAAAUGCAGUAACUGCACAUGAAACAACUUAUAUCAGAUUGAUAUGGCACUGUAAUGUGUUGGAAUUGUUAGUGUGUUCUUGUUUGGACUACUCUGUAACAGAUGAAGAGAGGGUAGACUCUCUGGAAGGGUAUGCUGCAAUGCAGCUUUAGUCUUGGAUCUAAAGAUCUCAUCAGAUUAACACCCAGUAUAAAGGGUACUGAUGAUGUCAUUGUUUCCCAGUUGACAAACUGAAGGGAGUAGUUAAUGCCUUUGAUGAUGAUGAUGAUGAUAAUGAUGUUCUGAUGAAUGGGCAAAUAUAGGUUUGAUUACAUUCCUUUGUGGAGAGAAAAAAAUCAACAGCACAAAAACAGAUUAUUUUGAAAAGAACCUUCAUGAAAGGUAAGGCUGUUUCCCUUAAUCAUGCUUACUUAACAGUGUUUGCUGUGAACUUUCACUCUCAGUUAACACUGAGACUGUUGACUGAGAAGUUCACAGCCUAAUAUAUCACAUUCAUCUGAUAGACUCAUCAAAUAUUUUACAUUUUUCUUACUAUAACCACAUUUAUCUUGCAUGUAAUCCACAUUUCCAAGGAUGCAAGUUUUGGGGGGGGUUUUUCGACUCAGUAGUUUCUGAUUGUAGUGUAUCUUGCAACAAGACAUUAUUUUUUUUCUUCCCUCUGUACAGUUUGUAGCAUGGCAUGUAUAAAUCAAAAUAAAUACAUAAAUAUUAAAAAUGAAUGUAUGGAC
rnacentral:lncRNA from 1 species